rnacentral:rRNA from 1 species
AAUGGGCGCAAGCCUGAUCUAGCCAUACCGCGUGAGUGAUGAAGGCCUUAGGGUCGUAAAGCUCUUUCGCCAGGGAAGAUAAUGACUGUACCUGGUAAAGAAGUCCCGGCUAACUCCGUGCCAGCAGCCGCGGUAAUACGGAGGGGACUGGCGUUGUUCGGAAUUACUGGGCGUAAAGCGCACGUAGGCGGACUGAUCAGUCAGGGGUGAAAUCCCGGGGCUCAACCCCGGAACUGCCUCUGAUACUGUCAGUCUUGAGUUCGAGAGAGGUGAGUGGAAUUCCGAGUGUAGAGGUGGAAUUCGUAGAUAUUCGGAGGAACACCAGUGGCGAAGGCGGCUCACUGGCUCGAUACUGACGCUGAGGUGCGAAAGCGUGGGGAGCAAACAGGAUU